CAGCAGCCGCGGUAAUACAGAGGGUGCGAGCGUUAAUCGGAUUUACUGGGCGUAAAGCGUGCGUAGGCGGCUUUUUAAGUCGGAUGUGAAAUCCCUGAGCUUAACUUAGGAAUUGCAUUCGAUACUGGGAAGCUAGAGUAUGGGAGAGGAUGGUAGAAUUCCAGGUGUAGCGGUGAAAUGCGUAGAGAUCUGGAGGAAUACCGAUGGCGAAGGCAGCCAUCUGGCCUAAUACUGACGCUGAGGUACGAAAGCAUGGGGAGCAAACAGGAUUAGAUACCCCUGUAGUCCCUGUCUCUUCUAA
rnacentral:rRNA from 1 species